UACAGAGGGUGCAAGCGUUAAUCGGAAUUACUGGGCGUAAAGCGUGCGCAGACGGUUGCGUAAGUCAGAUGUGAAAGCCCCGGGCUCAACCUGGGAAUUGCAUUUGAGACUGCGUAGCUAGGGUGCGGAAGAGGGAAGCGGAAUUUCCGGUGUAGCGGUGAAAUGCGUAGAUAUCGGAAGGAACACCAGUGGCGAAAGCGACUUCCUGGCCUGUUCUUGACGCUGAGGCGCGAAAGCUAGGGUAGCAAACGGG
rnacentral:rRNA from 1 species